rnacentral:rRNA from 1 species
UGGGGAAUUGUUCGCAAUGGGCGCAAGCCUGACGACGCAACGCCGCGUGGAGGAUGACGGUCUUCGGAUUGUAAACUCCUGUUGCUCGGGACGAAUCGCCUCGACCUAAUACGUUGAGGUCUGACGGUACCGGGUGAGGAAGCCCCGGCUAACUCUGUGCCAGCAGCCGCGGUAAUACAGAGGGGGCAAGCGUUGUUCGGAAUUACUGGGCGUAAAGGGCGCGUAGGCGGCCGACUCAGUCGAACGUGAAAUCCCCGGGCUCAACCCGGGAACUGCGUCCGAUACUGGUCGGCUUGAAUCCGGGAGAGGGAUGCGGAAUUCCAGGUGUAGCGGUGAAAUGCGUAGAUAUCUGGAGGAACACCGGUGGCGAAGGCGGCAUCCUGGACCGGCAUUGACGCUGAGGCGCGAAAGCCAGGGGAGCAAACGG